CUCUCCGCUCUGGAGAACUACAACUUUGAGCUGGUGGACGGAGUCAAACUUAAGAAAGAAAAACUCAGUGCACAGAAAUCUUACACAGAGGCAUAAGGAAUGCUGGAUGAACACAGGACACAUUUGCAGGACAAUGUUGGAGGAACGUUCUUAGAAUGUUUUUGCGACGUUCCUCAAGGUGAAGACUGAGCGUUAUUCUCAGGAUGUGAAGGAAGAGGGACUGGCCUCUAGAGGGCGCCAUGUAUAGAUUGUACAGCCAGACGAUGAUUGUCUACUUGUUUGUUUGUUCGUUUGUACAUUUGUUGCUGGUGAUGAGACCAAGACAAAAUGAUGUAUCCUCUCACACAGUUGGAUUUUUUUUUUCUACAAGCCCCCUUUUCAGAGCUGUACACAACUGGGUUUUCAGUGUUAUUGUGCUCAUUUAUGCUUGGAGACGUGUUUGUUCAGUUGGUAACGCACUCUUCAUUCCAAUGGUGCCUUUAAAUGUGUGUUUGUUGCCUUUUUACACAUGGGUUCCUCCUUACACAGACAGUCAAUUGCUCUUGAGCACAAACUGUUCACAGAUACAGGCCAAUACAGGUCAGAGCUGCCCAUGUGACAUGUCUGUAAACUUGUGUUGCCAUGGUAUCGAGUGACAUCAUGUUUCAGAAUGGCAUCAUAGUGUCUGCAGACCAUCUGUGAAAAUAGUGUCUUCUAGACUGGACCCCUCCUGAUCAGGAGACGCUGGGGAGAAGCUCACUCUGGGAACGUCUGGGAAUGGAAGCGGAGACAAAGCAAAUGAAGCAUCUAAGAGCGCUAAUGUUGGAGCAUCUCCCCAAGGAAAUUAAUUAUAUUUGAAGGAUGUAAAAGGCACAAACUGAUCCAUGCUCUUAAGCAUUGACAGGACAACUUAAGGAAGACGAGGCGACAAGUGCUGACAAAGGCAUCUGGGUCUAUUUCACACACAGCAGGAAAGCAGUUUGUUUUCAGCAGCUUGAAGGAGACACCAGAAACUUUUCUCCCACUCAAAUGAACCAACGUGUCAUUUUGCACUGAGAAUUAUAUUUAAUGAAAGAGUUAGAUAGUAAUAAAAGUGUUAACUACUUUAAAUGGUAAGAGAAAUCCAACUGUCAGUGUAACAGCUCACUUUUUUUUUGUUAUUUAAAAUGAAAUGGUAUUUUUCUUGAUUGUAAUAGUUGUUUUUGUGUUCUGAGGAACUGAAGUGACACUGAACUGGCUUUUCAUCACA